GUGCCACCACACCACACGGAAAUGUAUCGCAUCCCGUGGAUGAAGAUACCUUCGGGCAGUUUCUGACAAGCCUGUGGUCCAGUCCAUGGUGAGGCAGCUGUGCCCCCACAGCCCAUGGAGUACCACUGAAGAACAGAUAUCCACACUGUAGUCACUCGAGACCUGGUACCGCAGCAGAUGGGAAUGCCCUGAAGGAAGCUGUGGUCUGUGGAAAGUCCAUCCUGAAGCUGACUCCAGGCAGUACACAUGGCACUGUGGAAAGGAGCCCAGACUGGGGCAGUUUUUCUGGCAGUAACUGCAGCCCAAUAAGGACCCAAUACUGGUGCAAUCUGUUCCUGAAGGACUGCAGCCCAUGGAAUGGACUUACACUGGAGAGGCAGGGAAAAGUGAAAAAGCGUGAGGAGGAAUGAGGAGCAAUGGCCAUCAACUAAAACACAAGAAGCUCCACUUCAACAAGAGGACUAACUUUAUGUUGAGGAUGGCAGAGCAUUGGCACAGGCUGCCCAGGAACAUCAUGGAGUCUCCCUCUCUGGAGACAUUCUGAACCCACAUGGAUGCAUUCCUGCCUCACCUGCUCUAGCUGACUGGCCUUGGCAGGGGCUUUGGACUGGAUGAUCUCCAGAGGUCUCUUCCAACUCUAACAGUUUUGUGAUUACAUGAAGGAGCAGCAGAGAUGGAGUAUUAUGAACAGAUCACAACCCCUAUUUUCCAGUUCCUUGCAUCAGCUGAGCAGGAGGAGCAGGUAGAAAAUUCAGGAGUGAAGUUGAGCUAGGGAAAAAGAGGAAGGAGGAAGAUAUUUUUGGUUUGGCCUUUCUUUGUUACCAUCCUACUCCUAUUUUUAAUUAGCAAAAAAAAAUAUUUUCCCUUGGUUAAGUCUGUCCUACCUUCAAUGGCACUUAGUAAACACUGUUUGUGUUUUCAUCUUGA